GAGGUCGGCGGCCGGAGCCGGCGGCCUGCGAGGCGUUGCAAUCGCUUCAGAUGGCGAUCAUUCGGGCAAAUCGCGCUGGUUCGUAUCCUGUCCGAUUCCGCC
rnacentral:tRNA from 1 species